rnacentral:rRNA from 1 species
UACGUAGGGUGCAAGCGUUAAUCGGAAUUACUGGGUGUAAAGCGUGCGCAGGCGGCUUUGCAAGACAGAUGUGAAAUCCCCGGGCUCAACCUGGGAACUGCAUUUGUGACUGCAAGGCUAGAGUACGGCAGAGGGGGAUGGAAUUCCGCGUGUAGCAGUGAAAUGCGUAGAUAUGCGGAGGAACACCGAUGGCGAAGGCAAUACCCUGGGCCUGUACUGACGCUCAUGCACGAAAGCGUGGGGAGCAAACAGG